UUCGUUUAAAAGGACAAGAUGUUAAAGUUUAUGAUAAAAUUGUCAUCAGAAAUACUGUCCACUUGCAGUAUUUACAUAGGAAAAUGUUGGAGGAUGAAGCUCUACCUACUGCCUCAGGUUAAUUUAAAUUCUGAGUUGCAACAACAGCAACAAGCAAGAAGGGCACCGUUAAAUGAAUAUUAUACACAUAAGUAUUAUUAUACAAAGAAAGAGUAAUGUUAUACACAUAAAUAUUAACAUUUUGUAGAGCAACAACAGAAUAAAAAACCAAAAUAUGAACACCAGCAACUAAAACAGGAACCAUUAAAUGAAUAUUAUAUACAGCAAUAACAGCAUCAAAUAAUGGAAAUAAUGGACCUUAUUGCACAAAUCAAAAACAAAAUUUCAGCAUUACUACUUUAUUGGUUAUAUCAAUAAAAGAAAUUGAGUUUAUCAGUCUAGAUCCUACAAGCAAGCAGAUCUAUCACAUAAUUUUAAAUGAAGAUUUAUCUAUUAUAGUAAUUUAUUCUAAUAACG